ACGAUGAAUCUUCUAGCUUGCUAGAAGUGGAUUAGUGGCGCACGGGUGAGUAAUGCAUAGGUUAUGUGCCCUUUAGUCUGGGAUAGCCACUGGAAACGGUGAUUAAUACUGGAUACUCCCUACGGGGGAAAGUUUUUCGCUAAAGGAUCAGCCUAUGUCCUAUCAGCUUGUUGGUGAGGUAAUGGCUCACCAAGGCUAUGACGGGUAUCCGGCCUGAGAGGGUGAUCGGACACACUGGAACUGAGACACGGUCCAGACUCCUACGGGAGGCAGCAGUAGGGAAUAUUGCUCAAUGGGGGAAACCCUGAAGCAGCAACGCCGCGUGGAGGAUGAAGGUUUUAGGAUUGUAAACUCCUUUUGUUAGAGAAGAUUAUGACGGUAUCUAACGAAUAAGCACCGGCUAACUCCGUGCCAGCAGCCGCGAUAAUACGGAGGGUGCAAGCGUUACUCGGAAUCACUGGGCGUAAAGAGUGCGUAGGCGUGGUAAUAAGUCAGAUGUGAAAUCCUGUAGCUUAACUACAGAACUGCAUUUGAAACUGUUACUCUGGAGUGUGGGAGAGGUAGGUGGAAUUCUUGGUGUAGGGGUAAAAUCCGUAGAGAUCAAGAGGAAUACUCAUUGCGAAGGCGACCUGCUGGAACAUUACUGACGCUGAUGCACGAAAGCGUGGGGAGCAAACAGGAUUAGAUACCCUGGUAGUCCACGCCCUAAACGAUGGAUGCUAGUUGUUGCCUUGCUUGUCAGGGCAGUAAUGCAGCUAACGCAUUAAGCAUCCCGCCUGGGGAGUACGGUCGCAAGAUUAAAACUCAAAGGAAUAGACGGGGACCCGCACAAGCGGUGGAGCAUGUGGUUUAAUU
rnacentral:rRNA from 1 species